AAAAAAGGUAAGCUACUAAGAGCGAAUGGUGGAUGCCUUGACUGGUAAAGGCGAUGAAGGACGUACUAGACUGCGAUAAGCUACGGGGAGCUGUCAAGAAGCUUUGAUCCGUAGAUUUCCGAAUGGGGCAACCCAAUGUAUAGAGAUAUACAUUACCUAUAUAGGAGCGAACGAGGGGAAUUGAAACAUCUUAGUACCCUCAGGAAAAGAAAUCAAUAGAGAUUGCGUCAGUAGCGGCGAGCGAAAGCGCAAGAGGGCAAACCCAGUGCUUGCACUGGGGGUUGUAGGACUGCAAUGUGCAAGAGCUGAGUUUAGCAGAACAUUCUGGAAAGUAUAGCCAUAGAGGGUGAUAGUCCCGUAUGCGAAAAACAAAGCUUAGCUAGCAGUAUCCUGAGUAGGGCGGGACACGAGGAAUCCUGUCUGAAUCCGGGUCGACCACGAUCCAACCCUAAAUACUAAUACCAGAUCGAUAGUGCACAAGUACCGUGAGGGAAAGGUGAAAAGAACUGAGGUGAUCAGAGUGAAAUAGAACCUGAAACCAUUUGCUUACAAUCAUUCAGAGCACUAUGUAGCAAUACAGUGUGAUGGACUGCCUUUUGCAUAAUGAGCCUGCGAGUUGUGGUGUCUGGCAAGGUUAAGCAAACGCGAAGCCGUAGCGAAAGCGAGUCUGAAUAGGGCGCUUAGUCAGAUGCUGCAGACCCGAAACGAAGUGAUCUAUCCAUGAGCAAGUUGAAGCUAGUGUAAGAACUAGUGGAGGACUGAACCCAUAGGCGUUGAAAAGCCCCGGGAUGACUUGUGGAUAGGGGUGAAAGGCCAAUCAAACUUCGUGAUAGCUGGUUCUCUCCGAAAUAUAUUUAGGUAUAGCGUUGUGUCGUAAUAUAAGGGGGUAGAGCACUGAAUGGGCUAGGGCAUACACCAAUGUACCAAACCCUAUCAAACUCCGAAUACCUUAUAUGUAAUCACAGCAGUCAGGCGGCGAGUGAUAAAAUCCGUCGUCAAGAGGGAAACAACCCAGACUACCAGCUAAGGUCCCUAAAUCUUACUUAAGUGGAAAACGAUGUGAAGUUACUUAAACAACCAGGAGGUUGGCUUAGAAGCAGCCAUCCUUUAAAGAAAGCGUAAUAGCUCACUGGUCUAGUGAUUUUGCGCGGAAAAUAUAACGGGGCUAAAGUAAGUACCGAAGCUGUAGACUUGCACACAACUUAGAUUAUUUAAGUUUAGAAUAAGUAGUUUAAGUUGUGUGCAAGUGGUAGGAGAGCGUUCUAUUUGCGUCGAAGGUAUACCGGUAAGGAGUGCUGGAGCGAAUAGAAGUGAGCAUGCAGGCAUGAGUAGCGAUAAUUAAUGUGAGAAUCAUUAACGCCGUAAACCCAAGGUUUCCUACGCGAUGCUCGUCAUCGUAGGGUUAGUCGGGUCCUAAGUCGAGUCCGAAAGGGGUAGACGAUGGCAAAUUGGUUAAUAUUCCAAUACCAACAUUAGUGUGCGAUGGAAGGACGCUUAGGGCUAAGGGGGCUAGCGG
rnacentral:rRNA from 1 species